AAAGAAAAUUUAAAAAGCAACUGCUUACAGGACAUACAGGAAAGAAUUAAAAAAUAGGGACAGCAAACAAACAGACACAGAAAGAAAAUGUUAAAAGUGAGAUGGUACAGGACAGAGGAUAAAAUUAAAAAACAAAGACAUGAAUAGGUUAAAGUAGACAUAGAAAGAAAAAGUAAAAAGCAACGGGGUACACAAUAGUGAGGAAAGAAUUAAAAAACAGUGAUACACAGCUCGAUAGAAGUAGACAUAGAAGGAAAAUUUAAGAAGUGAUUGGGUACAGGACAGAAAAAAUUUUAAAAAUAGCCACAGUGAACUAAAACUGAGAAAUAUAAAGGAAAUUUAAAAGUAUCACAGGGGCACAGGACAGAGAGAUAAAAAAUAAA